CUACGGGAGGCAGCAGUGGGGAAUAUUGCGCAAUGGGCGAAAGCCUGACGCAGCCAUGCCGCGUGUGUGAAGAAGGCCUUCGGGUUGUAAAGCACUUUCAAUUGGGAAGAAAAGUUUGUCGUUAAUAGCGGCAAGCCCUGACAUUACCUUUAGAAGAAGCACCGGCUAACUCCGUGCCAGCAGCCGCGGUAAUACGGAGGGUGCGAGCGUUAAUCGGAAUUACUGGGCGUAAAGCGCGCGUAGGCGGUUUGUUAAGUCAGCUGUGAAAGCCCCGGGCUCAACCUGGGAACUGCAGUUGAUACUGGCCGACUAGAGUAUGAAAGAGGGAGGUAGAAUUCCAUGUGUAGCGGUGAAAUGCGUAGAUAUAUGGAGGAAUACCAGUGGCGAAGGCGGCCUCCUGGUUCAAUACUGACGCUGAGGUGCGAAAGCGUGGGGAUCAAACAGGAUUAGAAACCCGUGUAGUCC
rnacentral:rRNA from 1 species